GAGUUUGAUCGUGGCUCAGAACGAACGCUGGCGGCGUGUUUAAGACAUGCAAGUCGAGCGGCAGCGCGGGAGCAAUCCUGGCGGCGAGCGGCGAACGGGUGAGUAAUGCCUAGGAAUCUGCCUGGUAGUGGGGGACAACGUUUCGAAAGGAACGCUAAUACCGCAUACGUCCUACGGGAGAAAGCAGGGGACCUUCGGGCCUUGCGCUAUCAGAUGAGCCUAGGUCGGAUUAGCUAGUUGGUGGGGUAAUGGCUCACCAAGGCGACGAUCCGUAACUGGUCUGAGAGGAUGAUCAGUCACACUGGAACUGAGACACGGUCCAGACUCCUACGGGAGGCAGCAGUGGGGAAUAUUGGACAAUGGGCG
rnacentral:rRNA from 1 species